UUUUGCGGUGGCUGUGCGCGGGACACCUCCGGGUGUGCCGGAUACCUUGAUUUCCGGUCGGUCAACCCGCGUACAGCUGCCACCUUA
rnacentral:antisense_RNA from 2 species